AGGCGAUUUUUUUCGCGUUGAAACAAACUAACCAGAAAACUCUGAUCAGUCGGACUAUAAUUAUAAGCGCAAUAAUUUAGAAAAUGUUCAGCAAUAAUUCUUUGUUAUUUUAUAUUUUUGUUGCCCUUCUUCUGUUGAACGCUUGCGAUGUUUUCGGACAACAUUACAAUAACGACAGAAUGCUACAAGAAAAAGUUAAAUUAAAUAACUAUCAGAAAAGAGUUAUUCAGGUCCCAGCGAAUAAUCCUUGUGAAGAUGCCGCCAGAUUAAUUCGUGGAAGAUGUCGAAAAAUUCGAAUUUGAUAACAAAGAAAGAAGUAUUUCAAGAUUUCAAUCUUCAGACAUACACAUUAUUAUGUCGGAUUACACCAAAAAACAAGUCAACAAAAUGGAAAUUGUUAUAAAAUAUAUUGAAUCAAUUUGUAAUACAUUUUGUGCACAUUUAUUUAAGGAAAUCAUUCCAAAUUGAGUUACAUCAUUUAAUCCAUCCACAAUAUGCGUGUUAUCUAUCGUAAAUAUCAGGUAUAGCAACGAUUAUAUUAAAUUGCAAUAUUUUAAGUAAUUAAUAAAUUUGAUGUAGAAUAUUUUAA